UAGGGUCCUUCCCAGUUCGGAGAUAGUUUUCUUUGAUCCAGAGGCUUCAAGACUUCCGCCUUCCUUAAAACCAAGUCUCCCGAUCUGAAAAACUUUGGCUUAACUUUAGCAUUGUAGUAUUGGGCCACUCUUUGUCGGUAGGAAGCCAUGCGGAGUUGAGCCUCGCGUUGGAGCUUGGGUAGGAGGUCUAAGUCAGCUCUCUGACACUCGGAG
rnacentral:lncRNA from 1 species